AUACCCUAAACUCUAAUCCUAGACUCUAAACCCAAAUUAUAUACCCUAAACCCAAAAAUUAGACUAUAAACCCAAACUCUAUAUCCUAAACCCAAGUCCUAGACCCUAAACCCAAACCGUAAACCUUAAAUCCAAAUUAUAUACCAUAAAUCCAAAACCUUAACCAUAAGUCCAAACGGUAAAUCAUAAACCCAAACCGUAAAUCAUAAACCCAAAAUCUAUAUCCUAAACCCAAAUCCUAGACCUAAAACUCAAAUGGUAAACCCUAAACCCAAACUCCAAACUUAGAUGCUAUAGGGUUUGGGUUAAGAUUUACGGUUUGGGUUUAGGAUCUAAGACUUGGGUUUAGGGUAUAUGGUUUAGGUUUAUAGUCUAUUUUAGGUUUAAGGUAUAUAAUUUUGGUUUAGAGUCUAGGAUUAGGGUUUAGGAUAUAGGGUUUGGGUUUAGGGGUUUGGAUUUGGGUUUAAAAUUUAGGAUAUAGGGUUUAGAAUUUAAGAUUUAGGGUUUAAGGUUUCGCUGGAA
rnacentral:lncRNA from 1 species